AGUGAACGCUGGCGGUAGGCCUAACACAUGCAAGUCGAACGGCAGCACAGUAAGAGCUUGCUCUUACGGGUGGCGAGUGGCGGACGGGUGAUGAAUACAUCGGAAUCUACUUUUUCGUGGGGGAUAACGUAUGGAAACUUACGCUAUUACCGCAUACGACCUACGGGUGAAAGCAGGGGAUCUUCGGACCUUGCGCGAUUGAAUGAGCCGAUGUCGGAUUAGCUAGUUGGCGGGGUAAAGGCCCACCAAGGCGACGAUCCGUAGCUGGUCUGAGAGGAUGAUCAGCCACACUGGAACUGAGACACGGUCCAGACUCCUACGGGAGGCAGCAGUGGGGAAUAUUGGACAAUGGGCGCAAGCCUGAUCCAGCCAUACCGCGUGGGUGAAGAAGGCCUUCGGGUUGUAAAGCACUUUUGUUGGGAAAGAAAAGCAGCAGGUUAAUACCCCGCUGUUCUGACGGUACCCAAAGAAUAAGCACCGGCUAACUUCGUG
rnacentral:rRNA from 1 species